GAGAUGCAGCCGAUUUAUUUUUGUAUUCGUAUUUUUAGUGGGUUGUUUUCUACCAGUGGGGCUUUCUUCGAGCGAUGAGGUGGAACAGCUACGAAAUGAAUUUGAAAAGAUGAAAAAUUCUAUGAAAUCAAUGGUAAUUGAACUGGAAUCAUUACAAAAAACGGCUUGUUCUCUCAGAUCGUUCAUCCAAUGCACUGGGUCGUCUUUUGAAAAGACUUACUGCCACAUAUUUAGCCUUCCACGCUUAUCAGUCACGAGUCACGUGUGCAGGGGACCAUCAGGUGAUCGUGUAUGACACAGCAGCGAUAUAUCAAGGCGGAGGCUACAACACAGCCCACGGGAUUUUCGAUGCGCCGUCGGCGGGCCUCUACCUUUUUUCCCGGACGACAGCUUCCCAAGAUGACGACUGGGUCGUCACUGAACUGAUCGUGAACGGCGCGCGUCUCAUUGGCACAGACACCGCCAACGCCGACGUGACCCCUGGAACCGCCGUCGUUCUGGCAACCGUUAACGCAGGCGACCACGUGUUCAUCCGCCGUGUGUCAUGCGGAACUUUAUUCCUCACUAAUCGGCUGCAGACUUCAAUGCGGAUGUCGUUCACCGGCAUACUUUUAUAAAUAAUAUUAUAAAAGAAUGCAUUAUAUCCUGCUGAUCUCACUUUAAAUUAUGUUGAUGUUGUACUUUUUUGAUGGACUAACAUCUAACACAGAAGAUGAACAUUCGACUAUCGAGCUGGUGCGAAUAUCGUCCUUAAUGUGACAUCGAAAUGUAAGUGUUAACUGUGAAUAUCGAGCUUAAUUAAAUUUCGAGUAAGCACUGACAUCAAAGUUUAAAUGCUUGCAUAAAAUAUCGAGGCAUGUUAAAUAUCAAGCAAGCACUGACAUCGACGUUUAACGGCAAAAAGUGAAUUUAGGCCUGAUUCGACUUUUGUGCCAGCGCUCGAAAUUAGUUUAAACAUAUUAUUUUAGCUCAUUUUCAUUUAAAGUGCAUGUACCUACUACUUAUUUGAAACGCCUUCGAGUCGGUUUCAUUGGCCUAUAACCAGUACUUUGUGUCUUUAAGGGAGAUUUAAAAAAGCUCCCACAUGUGUUUCGAACCCGUGACCUUUCGGUCCCUAGACGGAAGUCAUACAUAUUACAACACGGCGAUAUAUUAUAAAAAGUGACAAUCAACAAUACUCAAAUAAUGUUUGAGGUCGUGUCGAAUGUUUUUAAAACUUCCUGUCAGUAUUUAAUGCAUAUUUUUUAUGAUCAGUGUUAAAUGUAUCUGAAAUACAACCCAAUAGCUUGUUGUUUUAAAUAUUUGAUAAUAUGUUGUGAAUGAAGAAGCGAAUUAAAGUAACAAAAAAAAUUCUUAAUAUAUAACUUACACAGGCUGAAAGCGAGAUGACUUAUUGUAUAUACAUGUAUAUAUUAACGAUUUCAACAAGUUCAAAAAAGUGUUAUAGAAUUUUCUCAUUACCUUUAAUUUUAGAUUUAGUAUUCUUGAUUCAGUACCAUUAUUUUUCUUCAUUUGACAUGCGAUCUUCUGUAACACAUAGAAGCUAUGUUACUAGAGGUUCCAACAUCGCCUUUGUUUCUGGACAAUCUGUCGGAAUUCUUAGUAGUUGAUGGUAUUCUACGGAUAAGUCUACAAACUCGUUACCGCAUGCAUUACCUCUUACUUUUGUUUUGUCGUAUACUCUUGUAUUUCUUUCUUACUUGGUACUUUUUAUCGAGACCUCGUUUGUGAUUUAUCUUGUUGAUGAUGAUGAUGAUGAUGAUGAUGAUGAUGAUGAUGAUGAUGAUGAU